UUCACCGGGACGCGGCCCGCGUCUCUCUGAUCCCACCGGGGCGAGGUUGCACCCGGUUCAAGCCCGGCGGUGAUC
rnacentral:tRNA from 1 species